rnacentral:tRNA from 1 species
GCUUUCCUGUGUCUCAUUCAGUAGAGCAUUGCACUAGUAACGCAAAGGUUGUGGGUUCAAAUCCCAGGGAAAGCC